ensembl:lncRNA
AUGUUGUGUAUGUAUGUCAGUUUAAUGUUUCCGCUUGUGGAUAUGCUGCUGGAGGACUUCCCUAAAGAUCGUUUGCUGCUGAAAAGAGAAGUUAAGAUCAAAUGGGAUGGAUCCUUUUCUGUUGCCCCUUCUCAUAAUGAACCUCUCCCUGCUCACACCGAAUCUGCUUCUCAAGAAAAAGCCCGCCAGUACCCAGUUCACAUUAUCUGUGAGAAUGGAGAAGACAUUCUAGCUGAUCAUGUAAUUCUGACCAUUUCAUUAGGUUUGGCAAUAUCUUAAUUGGUCGGUGUCCAGGAGACAUAGCUGACCUGGUUGAAACCAUGACAGAUGAUGAGCUCUCAACUGCAAUCACUUAUCAUCUCAAAAUGUUCUUUGGUAAAGAAUCCUCUUUUAGUAAUUGCGAGUGUUUGCUAAUGUGUCAGUUAUAAGACUUUAAGGUUUUUAAAAGUUAUACUCUGCACUAAUUGGCGCAGCAACAAGUUCAUACAAGGAAGCUACGCUUUCCUCACUGUUGGUGUUGCUGGCCAAGUUAUGGACACAUUGGCCCAACCACUAGUGGGCAGCCACCAUCCUGAACAAGUAUUUUUUAUUUAUUUUAUUUUUUUUUUGCAUAUAUCAUUAUUUUGAAUUUAACAUUAUAAUGGAAUAUUAUUUUUAUUUAAAUAUGCCUUUGGUUUAUGUGCUAUCAAGCAGAAGGUUUUGAUAAAGAAUAUGUUUAAAAGACAGCUGGGUUUUAUUUUGAUUUUUUACUCCAUAUAUUUCAGGAUCUUCAGAUCCUGUCUGCAGGUGAGGCAACGAUGAAGACUCUUUAUGGCACAGUGCAAGGAGCUCUAUUCUCGGGACACAGGGAGGGACAGACUGGCAGCACAUUAAAAGAAGACUUCCACUACCUCAUUGGACAAACAAGUUUAAAUCUGUUCAUAAUCUAAAAUUUAUUCUGUAAUCUGUGAUGGUGUCCAAUAAGAGGGAAGUUUUCAACUGAGGAUGUGAUCACAACAAGCCUUCCCCCAUGAGGCUGUUCUAUGAAAAAAAAAAAAUAAUUGUAACUUUUUUUGGGGACAAAACUGUUUUAAUUAAUAAAUAAAGAAUGAUUUAAAAAUUU